rnacentral:misc_RNA from 1 species
UUCAUGGAUUUCAUACGCUGCAAGGUUUUUAGCUAUGCUGUAAUUUAUGUUUGGGUUUUAUUUAAGUGUUUACAGCAUCGGAAAAUUGGUAAUUGAGCUUAGGCAUGGCAUGCUGGGCAUUUUGCAAGCGCCAUUUUUCUUAUUUUUUUUGGAAGUGGAAAGCAUAGCUAAUUUGCUCUUUGGAAGUGCUUUCACUUAGUUUUGAAAGCAAAAUUUGUGGUAGUUUUGGAUUUAACAGAGCAAAAUCAGUGCUUUAACGUACCGAGCAAACGGUAGCCCGACAAGCUUGGAGCUUCCAAAUUGAUGGAAAAAACGUACUUUUAUGUGACGAGAAUUUUAACGAAAGUAAUGAAAAAGUGGUUUCACG